GAUGAACGCUGGCGGCGUGCCUAAUACAUGCAAGUCGAGCGAACAGAUAAGGAGCUUGCUCCUUUGACGUUAGCGGCGGACGGGUGAGUAACACGUGGGUAACCUACCUAUAAGACUGGAAUAACUCCGGGAAACCGGGGCUAAUGCAGGAUAACAUGUUGAACCGCAUGGUUCUACAGUGAAAGGCGGCUUUGCUGUCACUUAUAGAUGGACCCGCGCCGUAUUAGCUAGUUGGUGAGGUAACGGCUCACCAAGGCAACGAUACGUAGCCGACCUGAGAGGGUGAUCGGCCACACUGGAACUGAGACACGGUCCAGACUCCUACGGGAGGCAGCAGUAGGGAAUCUUCCGCAAUGGGCAAAAGCCUGACGGAGCAACGCCGCGUGAGUGAUGAAGGUCUUCGGAUCGUAAAACUCUGUUAUUAGGGAAGAACAAAUGCGUAAGUAACUGUGCGCGUCUUGACGGUACCUAAUCAGAAAGCCACGGCUAACUACGUG
rnacentral:rRNA from 1 species